UACAGGGGCCUCGAGCGUUAAUCGGAAUCACUGGGCUUAAAGGGUGCGCAGGCGGUCCGGAAAGUGUCCUGUGAAAUCCCACGGCUCAACCGUGGAAUUGCGGGGCAAACUUCCGGACUUGAGGAAGGUAGAGGCUGUUGGAACGAUAGGUGGAGCGGUGGAAUGCGUAGAGAUCUAUCGGAACGCCGAAGGUGAAGACAGACAGCUGGGCCUUUCCUGACGCUCAUGCACGAAAGCGUGGGGAGCAAACCGG
rnacentral:rRNA from 1 species